rnacentral:lncRNA from 1 species
CCGUCCCCAGUGGAAAACACCCCUCAGAAUAAUGAGUGCAAAAUGGUGGAUCUGAGGGGGGCCAAAGUGGCUUCCUUCACGGUGGAGGGCUGCGAGCUGAUCUGCCUGCCCCAGGCUUUCGACCUGUUCCUGAAGCACUUGGUGGGGGGCUUGCAUACGGUCUACACCAAGCUGAAGCGGCUGGAGAUCACGCCGGUGGUGUGCAAUGUGGAACAAGUUCGCAUCCUGAGGGGACUGGGCGCCAUCCAGCCAGGAGUGAACCGCUGCAAACUCAUCUCCAGGAAGGACUUCGAGACCCU